GUGCAAAUGAUGUAAACUUUGUUAUUCACUGAGUACAGUGAUGUUUCCAAAGGAACCACUGAUGCAC
ensembl:snoRNA SNORD42 Small nucleolar RNA SNORD42